GCCACCGCGCCCAGCCUAGGAUACUAUCUUAAUAUCCAUCACAUCUGCAAAAUACCUUCACAGCAGCACCUAGCUUAAAUAACUAAGGACUGUCACUGAGCCAAGCUGACACGUACACACACACACACACACACACACAUCAUCAUCAUCAUCACAGUGGGUUUACCAGUAACUUUCUUCACCAGUUUCCCAUAACUGAGCACUUGGAUUGCAUUCUUGUUAUUUGUGUUUACAGACUUAUUUAACAUUAUACUUACAGAAGCUUCUGUGGGGAGUUUUUAGUUUAUAGAUAAGGACAUCAGGACCAUCAGUUACAGUAAACUGCCUAAGCUGUUCUCUUAUGCUGUGUACUAUUAAGAAUAAAAUAAAAUUUGUUCUUUUUCUGAAUUGCUGUCACAGAUGCGACGUGCUCUGCGGAAGCUUAGGAACAUCUAAGCUACUUUAAUGUACUCUCACUUAAGUCAUUUAAAGAUGGAUAGAGGUGCUGAUAAAUAAGUAAAUAUGACAAUAAGAAGUGGGAAUGAUAGGGCCUUAGGUGCCCACCUGCAGACUAGAGUGCUGUGUGGGGCCAGGCUGUGCCCCGAGCACAUCUAGGGUGUGUGGCUGGUGUCUGAUACACAUCUCAGAACGCAGAGUGGAACAGAACAGAAUCAGAAAACUGUUUCACUUUCAGCAACAAUGCAUGCUGGUGUUGCUUUUCCAUAGAAAUAGAAAGUGAUAAAUCUAAAAUUACAUGAUAUUUUGCUUUAAAUAACAGCUCAUUUUUAUUAAGAUUAUCUGCUAAUAAUAGAAUGAAGAUAAAAUACAUUUAAAUGCAUUUUACAAGUUUAAGUUUUUCUUGAUGUUUGGUAACCGGUUUUUACAUUUUUGUGUUUGAGAUAUAUUAAAUAUUUACUUUUGUUAAUAUAUUGUAUAAUUUCUAAAUAGUUCCUCUUGUUCUUAAAAACCAAUGUACUUUUUCGAAUUGCAUUUUUCAUAGCACCCUAAAUACUUAUUACUUUGUAAAAGUAGUAUUUUUAAGGGCUACAAGAUUUGGACUCAGCAGGUGAUUCCAGGAGGCUGCUGCUUGAGGGACUCUUCAUUUGUGAUGAACACAAUUGUUUGUUUAAAACCAAAAAUCUCAGAGUUGAAUCUGAAAGGUGUGUGUCCAUGUACAUAUUCUUGAAGAUCAGAAGGCAGGUUCCUUAUUUCACGUUAAAGCACAGAUAAUUGGCUCUUAGAAAUGGAACCAAUCAAAAUGUCUACAAAUGCAGAAGACCAUGGCGGGGAAUCCUACCAGGAGAACAUCUUUGGGUCCCCUCAGGCUCCUCACUCCGGUUACCCCAACAAUUGGAGAAGAAAGGCCCAGGUAUUGGAGAACAAUGCCAAAGCAAUGCUUGAUCCUGGCUGGAGUCAGUUCUUCUGUCCUGUACUGCUGGGCUUGAUUUUCCUGUGUGGUGUAAUAGAUGGAUUAUAUGGUACUGUCAAUGUUGCUAGUAUUAAGAGGUUAGAGUUACCGCUUAUAACCCAACUCCCUGGUCAGCAAAAUCCAGUGCAAUAUCCACGCUGCCUGGGAAGGGAGCUCAGGAUGACAAGCCAACUGCGGAUGAAGUUGUGUCAAUAUCCAAAUGUAUUCCUGAUGAUACGUUCUUCUGUGCUGUUGUUGGAUCUGCAGAAGGUCAUUGCCAAUGCUGAUCAGGUUCAGAGAGGUUUAAAGCCUUCAUGCUGUCUAUUCACAAGUGGGAAUUGACUGACUCAGUUUCUUAAUCACAGCUCUGCCCCACCUGUUUAUUGAUUAGGUCAGCGUGCGGCCUUGGGCUGAUCUGUCAUAAUGGGCAUCAUUAUGACAUCAUUCUAGAACCCAGGGAUGGAACUAGCUGAGCAGGCAAGAUGGUGGCCGUACAUGCCCAGGUGACAAAAGCCAGCACAGACCCGUGUAUGGAUGGGACAGUCCCUGCAAGCAGCAGCAGAGAUCCAGCCAUUCCUGGCUGCAGCGAAAGAGGUUAAAAAGACUCUCAGAAAGUUUGACCUGUGCCCAGAUGCCACCCUCAUCCAAGAGGUUUCCUAGUCAUUCCACAGCAGCCAGUUGGUGGAACAAGAAACACACAACAUCAUGUGCUGGGCUCAAAGCCCUGGAAAGGAGAGCAGGAACUGUAAUCACGAUAUUUCGUGCUUGUCACUGCAUCAGCCUGCAUGGUCAAGCAUGUGGGCUCUGACAUGGGGACAUCCCGCAGGGGACACAGUGCCCUCAAGCUUAUUAGAUAGCUAGAUAUGACAACUGAACCAUUCUGUGGGGGGUGAAUUCAGGGAUGAAAAACAGGCCCACAGUGGGCAUGGUACAUGUCCCCACAGUGGGGAGCCAGUUCCUCUUCCAAAACUGCGGGCCUCAGAUGACCCCCAGGACCAGGUGGAGGCCUGACUUCUUGAUUGCAUGAAGGAUCUCGCAGGUCACACCUCCGAGCUGGGUCGACAUAGGUGAAUGAAGGACUGGAUGAUUUCAGUGGGUGGGACUGAAAACCGCCUUGGCUUGAAAGACCACUCUCUGGAAGGAUUUGGUGAUCAGACCUUCCUGGGGCAUUUUUUUUUCCCAAAAAUAGAAGGGAUAUAAAAAAUAUAUACAUGAGAGCCCCUGCCCCUGGCCCGCCUGGCCUGCCUGGCCUGUGGCGGCAGUGUGGCUGUGCAGGUGGCCACUCGGUUGUUUAUGUCCGUUGCAGGUCUCGUAGCAGCCUUGCAGACUGCCUGAUCAGCAGCGGCACCGGCUACGUGCCCGAGGACAGGCUCACCGCGCAGCAGCUCUUCACCAGCACCAACGGCCUCACCUACAACGACUUCCUGAUUCUCCUAGGAUUCAUAGACUUCAUAGCUGAUGAGGUGGACCUGACCUCAGCCCUGACCCGCAAGGGCUGAAGACGCCGCUGAUCUCCUUCCCUGUGGACACUGACAGAGGCUGACAUGGCAAUCGGGAUGGCUCUGAUGGAAGGUAUUGGUAUCAUUCACCACAACUGCACCCCAGAGUUCCAGGCCAACGAGGUGCGGAAGGUCAAGAAGUUUGAACAGGGCUUCAUCACAGACCCCGUGAUGCUGAGCCCCUUGCACACCGGGGGUGAUGUGCUGGAGGCCAAGAUGCAGCAUGGCUUCUCUGGUAUCCUCCUCACUGAGACGGGCACCAUGGGCAGCAAGCUGGUGGGCAUCGUCACCUCCCGAGAUGUCAAGGGACAUCCUGCUGAGAGGGACCACACCACCUUCCUCAGUGAGAUAAUGACGCCAAGGAUGAAACUGGUGGUGGCUCCAGCAGGCAUGACGUUGAAAGAGGCAAAUGAGGUCCUGCAGUGUAGCAAGAAAGGGAAGCUGCCUAUUGUCAGUGAUCGUGAUGAGCUGGUGGCCAUCAUUGCCCACACCGACCUGAAGAAGAAUCGAGACUACCCUCUGACCUCCAAGGAUUGCCACAAGCUGCUGCUGUGGGGGGCAGCUGUGGGCACCCGUGAGGAUGACAAAUACUGCCUGGACCUGCUCACCCAGGCGGGCGUCAACGUCAUAGUCUUGGACUCGUCCCAAGGGAACCCAGUGUAUCAGAUCACCAUGGUGCAUUACAUCAAACAGAAGUAGCCCCACUUCCAGGUGAUUAGGGGGAACGUGGUGACAGCAGCCCAGGCCAAGAACCUGAUUGAUGCUGGUGUGGAUGGGCUGUGCCUGGGCAUGGGCUGCGGCUCCAUCUGCAUCACCCAGGAAGUGAAGGCCUGCAGUUGGCCCCAGGGCACUGCUGUGUACAAGGUGGCCGAGUAUGCCCAGUGCUUUGAUGUGCCCAUCAUAGCCGAUCUUGACCAUGGGGCAUGUGGUCAAAGCCCUGGCCCUUGGAGCCUCCACAGUGAUGAUGGGCUCCCUGCUGGCCACCACCGUGGAGGCACCUGGCGAGUACUUCUCAGACGGGGGGCAGCUCAAGAAGUACCAGGGCAUGGGCUCACUGGAUGCCAUGGAGAAGAGCAGAAGCAGCCAGAAAUCCCCCCUCAGCGAGGGGGAUAAGGUAAAGAUCGCACAGGGUGUCUUGGGCUCCAUCAAGGACAAAGGGUCCAUUCAGAAGUUCGAGCCCUGUCUCAUAGUGGGCAUCCAGCAUGGCUGCCAGGAUAUCGGGACCCACAGCCUGUCUGUCCUUCGAUCCAUGAUGUACUCAGGAGACCUCAAGUUUGAGAAGCGGACCAUGUCGGUCCAGAUUGAGGGUGGUGUCCAUGGCCUGCACUCUUACGAGAAGCGGCUAUACCGAGGACAGCAGUGGAAGCUGAGGUGGUGGAGGGGGUGCACCCCAGUGUCCACCUUCGGGCACAGUCUCCCUCCAUCACUGAGUGAUCCACAGAUUUGCACUACAGGUUCCCCAGCUCCUUUCUAGGGAGAGAGGAGGGGAGGUCCUGAGGGGUCUGUGGCCUCUUGCUCAGCAUCCCCUGCAGAGUCAGGACUGCUCCCUGGGCCAGGCUGCCCUGGGAGCGCCCCCAGCCCGGCCAGCUGGACUCUCAGGCCCUGCACCUGCCCUAGGUCUUUCUUGCUCCUCCAGCCUGGCCCCCACCCCAGGGGCAGGCAGCCCUUCCUGGCUUCUCCUGUAGGACGCCUCUGUGCCCCCAGCCCCCCAGGAAAUGGUGCUCUCCUGGCCCUGCCUCUGGCCCUUCCAGGGCCGCUGCCCCCUCAGCCAUGUGGCACUUCUGAGCUCUUGACCUAGGCCAAGGGGAGGUCUCUGCCCCCCUCCCCAGCCCUGGGCUACCCUUGGGUCCUGCUCCUCAGGCCACUCCCCUGUCACUGGCCCUGGGGAGGAGGCUGCCCUGGUCAUGGCCACCUGCCUGUCAUUCCUGACUCACCACCGUCCCCAGGUGUACAAUUCCUGCUCUCUCCUCAGCUGCAGAUGAAGGCUUUAACUUUGCACACUUUGGGAUCACAGUUACAUCAGUGUGUAUUAAAUAAUCAGAAUAAAUCAAGUAGGUUUCAACGCCUCCAAGUAUCUAUAUCUAUGUACAGAUAUAUAGAUACAUAUAUAUAGAUAUCAGUCUCAUGCCACUCUUCAUCCCAAAAAGUAACACUAUUUUUAUCCAUUUCUUAAUCCCUACUGCUGCUUUCUGCAGAUACCAGCUAAAUCAAAUGUGAAUUCCUGCUCCCUUCUUCACACCCAGAAGGUAGCAUACAUAAAUGUUCAGUAUCUUAAUUUUUUUUCCACAUAACACAGAAAACAGGUGUCGUGACCCCAUUGCAGUUACUGCUGUGGUGGCAAAUGGACUCGUCAGAGGAGGGGAGUCCGAAAAUGCAGAACUGCCAGGCAAGGAGCCUAGAGGUAAGAGAACGCAAGUCCAUGUCAGUAGGGUAAGGUUCAAAGUGCAUCCCGGAGAGCCUGCUUCCCUGGCAAAGGUACUACCAAAACACUAACGAGUCCUCAAGAAAGACAGAGAAGACUGGGGUGUGUGUGUGUAUGGGGUGGGGGUGGGGGAGCCCUGGGGCUCUGUGGGCUCUUAGCAGAAGAGUUGCAGCCCCUGCCCUGGGAAUCACAUGUAGUGAUUGCUGAGUGUAGAACAGCCAUUGUAUAUCCUGGGGUCACAGGGAAUAGAGAUCUUCUCCCGAAAUUGGACAAGGAAGAGUGCCUGUCUGGGCUCACCCCCUUGAUGCUUAUGUAAUAUUUUGAGCUUGAAGUGUUGGAUGAGACCUUGAGACCUGAAGGGAAGGGAGGAGCUUGGAGGGAGGGACACCAAGUACUUCAAACGUCCUGGGAAGUGAAGAAAGAAAUGUAUAUUGGCCGCCACCAAGAAGAAGAUGGCAGGGAGGUUUCCCCUGAGAACUAGGAGGAGUCGGUGGUCCUCUAGCACUGUGGGUGGAGAUGCUGCCUUCGGGAUUCACUAUGGGUGAUGACUGGAUGGGACCAGAAAGAUAAAAGGUCUGGACUUCUCUGGUCUUGUGCAGUGUGCACCACCAUGGGAAAGGGCUCUAAUAUUUGCAAAACACCUACUACGUGUCAGACAUUAUACUGGGUGACUUUCAUAUGCUUUUAUAUGUUUGCCCAGGGUUAAGGUCCUUUAUUUAUUUUUUUUAAUGGUCAGUAUUUCAUUGUGGCAUUCUUUUAUUCAAAUUAAAAUUAAACUUAUUUUUAUGAGAUCAAUGUAAUUAACUACAUGUCUAAUAUAAAGAGCAACAAACCUUGUUAUUUUAAAACUACAGAACAUUAUUUUGAUAUAUUGAGCCAAAUAUGCAAAACUUGACUUAAAAUUGCAUAUUUGACACCUUUGUUUAAGAUAAUAAAUUCUAAAUGAAAAUCUAAA